AUAACACCUGGAAACAGAUGCUAAUACCGUAUAACAGAGAAAACCGCCUGGUUUUCUUUUAAAAGAUGGCUCUGCUAUCACUUCUGGAUGGACCCGCGGCGCAUUAGCUAGUUGGUGAGGUAACGGCUCACCAAGGCGAUGAUGCGUAGCCGACCUGAGAGGGUAAUCGGCCACAUUGGGACUGAGACACGGCCCAGACUCCUACGGGAGGCAGCAGUAGGGAAUCUUCCACAAUGGACGCAAGUCUGAUGGAGCAACGCCGCGUGAGUGAAGAAGGGUUUCGGCUCGUAAAGCUCUGUUGUUAAAGAAGAACGUGGGUGAGAGUAACUGUUCACCCAGUGACGGUAUUUAACCAGAAAGCCACGGCUAACUACGUGCCAGCAGCCGCGGUAAUACGUAGGUGGCAAGCGUUAUCCGGAUUUAUUGGGCGUAAAGCGAGCGCAGGCGGUCUUUUAAGUCUAAUGUGAAAGCCUUCGGCUCAACCGAAGAAGUGCAUUGGAAACUGGGAGACUUGAGUGCAGAAGAGGACAGUGGAACUCCAUGUGUAGCGGUGAAAUGCGUAGAUAUAUGGAAGAACACCAGUGGCGAAGGCGGCUGUCUGGUCUGUAACUGACGCUGAGGCUCGAAAGCAUGGGUAGCGAACAGGAUUAGAUACCCUGCUAGUCCAUGCCGUAAACGAUGAUUACUAAGUGUUGGAGGGUUUCCGCCCUUCAGUGCUGCAGCUAACGCAUUAAGUAAUCCGCCUGGGGAGUACGACCGCAAGGUUGAAACUCAAAGAAUGACGGGGGCCCGCACAGCGGGGAGCAUGUGGUUAAUUCGAGCUACGCGAGACCUACCAGGUCUUGACAUCUUCUGCCAACCUAAGAGAUUAGGCGUUCCCUUCGGGGACAGAAUGACAGGUGGUGCAUGGUUGUCGUCAGCUCGUGUCGUGAGAUGUUGGGUUAAGUCCCGCAACGAGCGCAACCCUUAUUACUAGUUGCCAGCAUUCAGUUGGGCACUCUAGUGAGACUGCCGGUGACAAACCGGAGGAAGGUGGGGACGACGUCAAAUCAUCAUGCCCCUUAUGACCUGGGCUACACACGUGCUACAAUGGAUGGUACAACGAGUCGCGAAACCGCGAGGUUUAGCUAAUCUCUUAAAACCAUUCUCAGUUCGGACUGUAGGCUGCAACUCGCCUACACGAAGUCGGAAUCGCUAGUAAUCGCGGAUCAGCAUGCCGCGGUGAAUACGUUCCCGGUCCUUGUACACACCGCCCGUCACACCAUGAGAGUUUGUAACACACAAAG
rnacentral:rRNA from 1 species